rnacentral:lncRNA from 1 species
GCAGCUCGUAACACACGUCUGUCCUUGUGCACCUUAUUCACCAGGUUUGGCACCGUGUGACUUCCGGCUCUUCCCCAAAGUCAAAGUGACCACAAAAGAGAAGUGGUUUGAACUGAUUCAGGACAUCAAGGCAGCCGGGACGGCACAACUGAAGACCCUCCAGUGAUGACUGAGGUGGCACUGCAGACCAGGCGUCCUCUUCCCGAGUACAGGUCGGAAGGUGCCCAUCCCGUCGCCGAUGCGGGAGCGUUGGACUCGGCCGCCGCCCCCGACCGCAUCAGACAGCCCUGUUAUUCCAGAGCAAGGCUGGGGAGACAGAGGGUACGGAUCUCGUUAGGGGCGCCUCUGACACCAUCACCAUCAAUUGUCUUCUGCUGGGGCUGAUCACCACCUCAAUUAUCUGGUGUCCAGCCUACCUGAUAGGUUUCUGCAAACUAUAACUCUUCUGUCGAUGAGCGUGGAAUAAUGACAGCCGGGCAAAUGGACAGAAUACAAAAGAGAUAAGGCCAGAAGGAGAACACAGUGCAUCUCUGGGUACAGACCUGCGAGACGCUCCGGCACUGUGCGCUUUAACACAACAGAGCCCAUGGCUCCUCGGCAGGCUGGCUGAGCCUGAGCUCGCGGCCAAGCAGUGGAGACAGAGCCGUCGGCGCAAUCUGUCCCCAGUUAAUCACCCCACGGAAGUAUACCAAGGAUUAAAGAUAUUGUGAUGUGUCCAUGACAUAAAGAGACAGGCUUUUUCCUCAAAUCACUGCAUACACAAUUUGUAGUAAAAAUGACUUUAAAUAAAGGGUUUAAUAGUGACCCUUUAUUUAAGGGGAGAUACAUUUUUCUAAAUGAUUCCAAUUGAAAUUCAAUUUCAAAUUGAAAUCAUGAAUCAAGGAGAAAAGUAAAACACAGGGAAGAGAGUGCCGAGGCAUCAUAACAAUGUAUAUUUUUAGCCAUAUGCAGUGCCACACGCACACCAGGAGAAAAUAGAUUUUAGUGUGAUAUUAAUUGAAGUUUUCCCAGUUGUGGUUCAGGAGGUUAAUUUGAAAAGAAUACAUUACCAAUAUAUUUAUAGCAUUUAAAUAAAUUAAAAUUAUGCUUCAUACAUCAAUUACGCAGCUGUUAAAUAAUAUUUUUAUUCUAUGUAAAUCCCAUCCAUUCAUCUCCGUUGUGUAAUAAAUGACCAUAAUUACGGGGCUUCAUUGGGAGGAAGGUCAUUGGUAACCCUGUAAUUCCUCAUUGGUGUAAAGAGAGAAAACAGAGCC